rnacentral:rRNA from 1 species
ACACAUAAAGGCCUAAGACAAGGAGAUCCGAUGUCCCCUAUCCUGUUUAACAUUGUGGUUGAUAUGUUAGCCAUCUUGAUAGGAAGGGCUAAGGAGAAUGGUCAAGUAGGUGGCUUGGUACCUCGUCUGGUUGAUGGAGGUGUAUCCAUCCUUCAGUACGCUGAUGAUACAAUCAUCUUUAUGGAGCAUGACUUGGCUAAGGCGAGAAAUAUGAAGCUGGUGUUAUGCCUUUUUGAACAAUUGACCGGGUUAAAGAUUAACUUUCAUAAGAGCGAGUUGUUCUGCUUUGGUAGAGCCAAAGACGAACAGGAGGCUUAUAGGCAAUUGUUUGGGUGCGACUUGGGGGAUUUACCUUUCUCUUACCUAGGUAUUCCAAUCCACCAUCGAAAGCUGACUAACAAAGAAUGGAAGUGCAUCGAAGACCGGUUUGAGAAGAAACUGAGUUGCUGGAAGGGCAAGCUCAUGUCAUACGGAGGCCGGUUAAUUCUGAUUAAUUCGGUGCUCACGAGUAUGUCUAUGUUUCUCUUAUCGUUCUUUCAAGUCCCAGUUGGUGUUAGGAAAAGACUGGACUUUUAUCGAUCGCGUUUCUUUUGGCAGGGUGAUGAUCUAAAAAGAAAAUACAGACUUGCUAAAUGGGAUAUCAUCUGUAGACCGAAAGACCAAGGGGGUCUUGGUAUUGAAAAUCUUGAAGUUAAGAACAGAUGCCUUCUUAGCAAGUGGCUGUGGAAGCUUUCUUUUGAGACUGAUGCCAUGUGGGCCCAAAUUCUUCGCAGCAAGUACCUACAGACAAAAUCCUUGUCCCAGGUCACAGUCAGGCCAACUGACUCGCCUUUCUGGAAAGGGCUGAUGAAAGUCAAACAAUCUUUGUUUAAUAGGACAAAGGUUGUUAUUGGCAACGGCGCUAGUACACGCUUCUGGGAGGAUACUUGGCUCGGCAAGACACCCUUGACCAUUCAAUAUCCGUCUUUAUAUCGCAUUGUUCAACGACGUGAGGUGUUCGUUGCUACGGUGUUUCAAUCUAUCCCCCUUAAUAUUCAGUUCAGACGGUCGUUAGUGGGAAAUCGUUGGGAAGAUUGGCUCCUUCUAGUACGGAGACUAAUGGAUGUACAGCUUUCUCAACAACCCGAUGAAUUACGCUGGAAACUGACUAGGUCUGGAGUAUUCACGGUUAAAUCAAUGUAUAUUGAUGUAAUUAAUUCGAGCUCCAUUCCUACCUCCAAGCAUGUUUGGGCUGUCAAAAUUCCUUUGAAAAUAAAAGUGUUUAUGUGGUUUGUCCAUAAACAGGUUAUUUUAACCAAGGAUAACUUGAUUAAGCGUAACUGGACAGGACCUACGAGGUGUAGCUUCUGUGAUCGGGACGAGACGAUCAAACAUCUCUUUCUUGAUUGCCCGUUUGCCAGAGUCCUUUGGCGGACGGUUCACAUUGCCUUUAAUAUUACUCCACCGAAUUCCGUCAAUACGUUAUUUGGGACAUGGCUCACU